CCCUGGUGGCGAGUGGCGAACGGGUGAGUAAUGCAUCGGAACGUGUCUUUAAGUGGGGGAUAACGCAGCGAAAGCUGUGCUAAUACCGCAUACGAUCUCUGGAUGAAAGCGGGGGACCUUCGGGCCUCGCGCGAUUGGAGCGGCCGAUGUUAGAUUAGGUAGUUGGUGGGGUAAAGGCUCACCAAGCCGACGAUCUAUAGCUGGUCUGAGAGGACGAUCAGCCACACUGGGACUGAGAUACGGCCCAGACUCC
rnacentral:rRNA from 1 species